CCGCCCCACAGUUACCUGGCAACAUCCAGGUGCCUGACUCUCGGUAAAAGGGGCUGCUUAUCUGUUCUUCACUCUUAGUCUCUUGUCUUCUUACCGUCUUCCCUCUCUGUCCCUUCUCUCCCCUCCCCCUCUCCACUCUCCAGAUAUUCAUGGACGGCCUCUACUACUCUCUUUUCUUUCUCCUCUCUCCCCUCCCCCUCUCUGUGUUGUUCUCUACCUCUACUCUCUCAACUCCCCUCCCCAUGCCCUAAGUAAACUCUGUUUCAUCCUGUACCCAUCCUAUGGUCGGUACCUCAGGGGGAAAGGACACCUCAGCAUGGGCCCUUCAUCAUACAUGCCUCUACCAAACAGAUCCCUGGCUUCCUUUUCUUUUUCAUAAAACACAACAGUGUCCACUUUAUCUCUACCCCCACCUCUAGAGUUUACAACCCUGUUGUUCUUAUCUAGACUACAACAAUUCCCCCUGUGUACUCUUUUUUUAAAAAAUAACCAAACAUACAUUUAUUCAAGUGUUGUCAUCUUGUGAAGAUGUAUUCUGAUGCCUAUGUUGCUUCCAUUAUCAAAGUGCACUUGUUCUGAACCUGUCUGGGCGUGGCCUUGGAAGUAGUCUGUGAGCUGUAUCAUGAGACCAUCACCUCAUGUUUGAAAUCAGGGUCACCUCUGUCCUGAUUACAGGGCCACCGCAGUGCACUGGGUCAUCAAACCUCUUGCUUAUUGUAUUGUUAUCCAUCUCCAUGUUUUCAUGAGUGGGACCUCCUGGACGUAGGGCUGAUUGGGUCCUACAGUCACUCAAGUUUGAGUUCUAAGACACUUUAUUGUUUGGAUGCUGGGGACAUUGAAGGCACCAAGGAGAUGGAAGUCAUCAACUGGGCAAAUGCUGAAGACACACGUGGAGGAGCAUGCACCCCUGAAGGUUACAGAGAACUUCAACAAGAGCCAUUUUGAUGCAUCAAUGUGGGCAAAGGCAAAAGGUUCAAGAGAGAACAAGAGAAAACUAGAGACCACAAGUGGAUAUAUGUGGAUCCUCCCAGGAGACCUACUAGGGAAAUGUGUUCCUCACAGAAGGUAUGAAUCACCCCUUAGUCCAGUGCAUCCACUGGAGCAAGGCUAUGGGCAGAAUGGGAAUUUGACCUGGGAAGGAUGUCUUUGCACUGGGAGAGGAGAGAAAGACUGAUUAAGUGGAUGGACUAAUGGAACAGCUGAAUGCUCAGCUGAAUUCUGUGGCUCUGAACAGGGAGAGGAACUGUGGCUUCACCAUUUUCUCCUGUAAGACUGGUUAGGUGUACAUCUGUGGCAUUGGGUUUCAUCAGGGUUGGAGUUUCUCAUAUGAGUAACAGACAGAGAGCAAAGGGUGUGUGUAGGUUGAUGUCUAUACGCGGGUAAGGGCUGGCACAAGUAAGGUCAAGGCCAUGAUUGGACAGUAAAAAAUAAGGCGGGGACAAAGCUUUUGUUAGGUGGGAGAGAAGGGGAAGGAGAAAG
ensembl:lncRNA